rnacentral:rRNA from 1 species
GACGAACGCUGGCGGCGUGCUUAACACAUGCAAGUCGAACGGAAAGGCCCUGCUUUUGUGGGGUGCUCGAGUGGCGAACGGGUGAGUAACACGUGAGUAACCUGCCCUUGACUUUGGGAAUACUUCAGGAAACUGGGGCUAAUACCGGAUAGGAGCUCCUGCUGCAUGGUGGGGGUUGGAAAGUUUCGGCGGUUGGGGAUGGACUCGCGGCUUAUCAGCUUGUUGGUGGGGUAGUGGCUUACCAAGGCUUUGACGGGUAGCCGGCCUGAGAGGGUGACCGGCCACAUUGGGACUGAGAUACGGCCCAGACUCCUACGGGAGGCAGCAGUGGGGAAUAUUGCACAAUGGGCGGAAGCCUGAUGCAGCAACGCCGCGUGCGGGAUGACGGCCUUCGGGUUGUAAACCGCUUUCGCCUGUGACGAAGCGUGAGUGACGGUAAUGGGUAAAGAAGCACCGGCUAACUACGUG